rnacentral:rRNA from 1 species
AAAGAACCCCGGGAGGGGAGUGAAAUAGAACCUGAAACCGUGUGCCUACAACCGCUCAGAGCCCCUUAUGAGGGUGAUGAGGUGCUUUUUGUAGAACGAGCCAACGAGUUACGGUAUGUAGCAAGGUUAAGUACUUAAGGUACGGAGCCGAAGGGAAACCGAGUCUGAAUAGGGCGACUAGUUGCAUGCCGUAGACCCGAAACCGGGUGACCUAUCCAUGGCCAGGUUGAAGCGAGGGUAAAACCUCGUGGAGGACCGAACCACGUUGCUGUUGAAAAAGCAUGGGAUGAGCUGUGGAUAGCGGAGAAAUUCCAAUCGAACCCGGAGAUAGCUGGUUCUCUCCGAAAUAGCUUUAGGGCUAGCGUCGAGUAUGAGUAGUGGAGGUAGAGCACUGAAUGGGCUAGGGGGCAUAGCGCUUACCGAACCUUAUCAAACUCCGAAUGCCACAUACUUUGAGCUCGGCAGUCAGACUACGAAUGAUAAGAUCCGUGGUCAAAAGGGAAACAGCCCAGAUCGUCAGCUAAGGUCCCAAAGUGUAAGUUAAGUGGGAAAGGAUGUGAGAUUUCUAAGACAACUAGGAUGUUGGCUUAGAAGCAGCCAUUCAUUAAAAGAGUGCGUAAUAGCUCACUAGUCGAGAGAUCUUGCGCCGAAAAUGUAACGGGGCUAAACUUACCA